GGGGGGGGGGGGGGGGGGGGGGGGGGGGGGGGGGGGGGGGGGGGGGGGGGGGGGGGGGGGGGGGGGGGGGCCCGGCGUCUGCGGGGGAGGAGCGGCGCUGGCCGGGGCGCCCAGCGCCAGGAACGCGUCGUCCCCUCGUUGGGGGUACGGGACCUGCGGGGCCCCGCGGCACAGCCCCGGCGGAAAGGCGAGAGCAAAGUACCCCAAGUCCAUGACCCACGGGGCAGCACCGCGCCCCGCCGGGGCAGUACUGCCCUAAUAUCGGCCCUGGAGCGGGGCAAUGGCAGCCCGGAGGGGGAGCUCACGCCGGGGGUACCGGGCGCCCCCAGUUCCCCUGUCCGCUGCCCAGGUGCGCAGUCCCGCCGCUUCGCACCGGGAUUCCCCGGCACAGGCCCUUCCCUGCACUCGACGGAGCCGCCGCACUCUUGGGAUGCUCGCCGGGAGUUUGGGAGAAUGGCAGGAAACAGCAGCAAGGUGAAGGAGGUGAAAUCUGGACUCUCAAAGUGAUCAUCUUUCCCUAAAUAUCUCCAAGUGACACUUGAGCAUCCAGUCUGAGCCACGCCGAUGUUUGAUUUGGAUGAUGAUGGGUUUGAGCCAAUGCCUCGGCUGAUAACCACAUGCCAGUGCAGUUCAGAACAGCAGAAGGGUGUGCUGAGCAAAGUACACCUGGGCUUUGGUGACUUGGGACUGGACAUACAAGGAACACGAAGAAGGGCUACAUCAUGCUGCUUUGAAUUAGACUUGCAACCUUCUAAUUCUUAGUAGGUGGAAGUGUAGUCAGCUGGGAAAUGCAAGGGUUGUACUCUAUUUUAACAAUCUAUUUUAUUUCUAAAUAAAAGCAUGAGAUUUAUUUGCCUUCAUCCAUCAUCCAGUGCCUUCCACUCAACAGCUCAAGGAGCUCUACAAGCUCUUGGCCAUGGUUGCAUUUGCUGUGGUCAGGAAGAGGCCACAAAUUUUACAAGGACCAAGCAUGGUGCCAACCUCAUGAAGGCAAGCAGAAACCCCAGAGAAGGAAACGUUCCACUGGGUCUCCUGGGGAUUUAAGGGGGCUGGACUGGUGACAGAAAAAGUAUAUAAUGGGGAGGCAUAACCAGACCAUUUCACUGACUCAGUAUCAACUCCUUCCCAUGGAGAUUUGUGCUCUGCAGCUCAGCUCCAUCAUUAUACCCAGCUGAUUAAUCCAGAGCAGAUCUGUUUGGUUUUUUUCCUGCAGGGGCCCUGAGAGGACACAUUGCUGGGACAGGCAUACACAAGCCUGCAAAGAUACAGGAGCAUUGCCCAGCACAGGGAUGCUGGUCAGUGACAGGGCCUCCUAUCCAGCCCCACUUUCUCCCCAGCUAAUAUUGUUCAUCUACUAUAAAACAAUUAUUACAGAGCAAAGACUGUCUGUACGGAUUAUGUCUUUAGGAUGCUUGAACUUUGAGUCUACAGACACAGCAGUCACUGAAAUCUCAGAGCCCUGAAGCUCAGUGCUCUCCUGGCACAGCCUUGUUCACUGUGAUGGGCUGUGCUGCCCUGAUACACUAAUAACGGAGUAUCACCUAAAUUUAUAUUUUCAGGGGAUGCGGGUAAAAAUUAGAACAUCUUAAAUCAAAUGCACUUUGUCAGGAAACAUACAUUUUGAGGAAGGUGUUAAAUUCUGGAUGAUGCAAACUUUCUCAGCAUUCCCAUGGCAAUCAGAGCAGUUUGGAAAAUGUUAUCAUCUGAAAAAUCAGAAGCCUGGGAACACCAGGUUUUCUCUUUAGCAGAGAAUGGCUGUCCAUGCAGGAGAGCAUCUGUGCUCUUCAUCUCCCCUGCUGUAAAAAUUCCUGCCUGCAGUGAAGGAAAGAAAAUUGGCUCCAGAGCAGGGCUACUGCUUUACUUGAGGCUUGUGUUUGCAGAAUGCAACUGGUUUAAUUACACCUAAGACUGUUUUAAGUGCUAG
ensembl:lncRNA